GAAGAGGGAGAGGAGGGGAGAAAAGAGGGGAAGAUGAGAGGAGGGGAGAGGAAAGGAGAGGGGGGAGAGAAAUGGCAUCUAUCAAAAUAUGAGAUGUCAACAUAAUAAGUUAUUAGGUGCUAUUCCUUGGUACAGCUGCUGUGAAAUAUAUAUCUUCACUGCAAAACAAUGGUGCUUUUUAUUUGACAAUGGAUGUAAAGAGGAUUUUGGAGCAAAAAUGUCUACUUUGUUUUGUUCUAUCAGAUUAUUGGAUGAUUAGAAACUAAAUGUGCUGAGGUGAAGUGGCUUUGUGAUGAUGUCCUCGUCAGAGAGGACUGUGUCUGUGUUGAAGGACUGUGGCUAUUAUAAUGUCCUCGUCAGAGAGGACUGUGUUGGUGUUGAAGGACUGUGGAUAUUAUAAUGUCCUCAUCAGAGAGGACUGUGUCUGUGUUGAAGGACUGUGGAUAUUAUAAUGUCCUCAUCAGAGAGGACUGUGUCUGUGAUGAAGGACUGUGGAUAUUAUAAUGUCCUCAUCAGAGAGGACUGUGUCUGUGUUGAAGGACUGUGGAUAUUAUAAUGUCCUCAUCAGAGAGGACUGUGUCUGUGUUGAAGGACUGUGGAUAUUAUAAUGUCCUCAUCAGAGAGGACUGUGUCUGUGAUGAAGGACUGUGGAUAUUAUAAUGUCCUCAUCAGAGAGGACUGUGUCUGUGUUGAAGGACUGUGGCUAUUAUAAUGUCCUCGUCAGAGAGGACUGUGUCUGUGUUGAAGGACUGUGGAUAUUAUAAUGUCCUCAUCAGAGAGGACUGUGUCUGUGUUGAAGGACUGUGGAUAUUAUAAUGUCCUCAUCAGAGAGGACUGUGUCUGUGUUGAAGGACUGUGGAUAUUAUAAUGUCCUCGUCAGAGAGGACUGUGUCUGUGUUGAAGGACUGUGGAUAUUAUAUUGUCCUCAUCAGAGAGGACUGUGUCUGUGUUGAAGGACUGUGGAUAUUAUAAUGUCCUCGUCAGAGAGGACUGUGUCUGUGAUGAAGGACUGUGGAUAUUACAAUGUCCUCAUCAGAGAGGACUGUGUCUGUGAAGGACUGUGGAUAUUAUAAUGUCCUCAUCAGAGAGGAAUGUGUCUGUGUUGAAAGACUGAUCUAGGGUCAGGCUGGGUAGGUAGGUAGGGGCUGGUAGGUCGAUGAGGUGCUUACUACAUGGGCAUGACUGCAUAUACUUGAAUAGAAGGUCUUCCUCGGAGCCUGGGGUGGUCUCAGUAAUUCUGACUAGAAGGUGUUCUUCAGAGCCUGGGGUUGUCUCAGUAAUACUGAAUAGAAGGUGUUCCUCAGAGCCUGGGGUGGUCUCAGUAAUUCUGACUAGAUGGUGUUCUUCAGAGCCUGGGGUUGUCUCAGUAAUUCUGAAUAGAAGGUCUUCCUCAGAGCCUGGGGUUGUCUCAGUAAUUCUGACUAGAAGGUGAUCUUCAGAGCCUGGGGUUGUCUCAGUAAUUCUGACUAGAAUGUGUUCUUCAGAGCCUGGGGUUGUCUCAGUAAUUCUGAAUAGAAGGUGUUCUUCAGAGCCCGGGUUGUCUCAGUAAUUCUGAAUAGUUCUUCAGAGCCCGGGUUGUCUCAGUAAUUCUGAAUAGUUCUUCAGAGCCCGGGUGGUCUCAGUAAUUCUGACUAGAAGGUGAUCUUCAGAGCCUGGGGUGGUCUCAGUAAUUCUGAAUAGGUGAUCUUCAGAGCCCGGGUGGUCUCAGUAAUUCUGAAUAGGUGAUCUUCAGAGCCCGGGUGGUCUCAGUAAUUCUGAAUAGAAGGUCUUCCUCAGAGCCUGGGGUUGUCUCAGUAAUUCUGAAUAGUUCUUCAGAGCCCGGGUGGUCUCAGUAAUACUCCGGGUUGUAGUGAAAGACAGUUAGUGUUAUAACAUGUGGUUAUAAAGCACUCUGAUUAAUCAGGACUUAAGGUUGACUCAUGUAGCUUUUUUGAAUUGCUUAGUUUACACCAUGUUGACUGUUGCGACUGUAGAGUUGCAGAGUUUUAUUUUUCAUUUGAUCGUUUCUUUAGCAUUAUUUUCAGUAGUGAACCGAUACGUGUCUCUGGCCAGAGUGUAAAUUCCUAAAACGCUUGUUCCCUUGCACAGCCAAAAAAAAGUGUUCACAUAUCCCCCUUUGCUUUAUGUGAAAGGCAACCUGUAAAACAGACUCCUAUAAACCUAGUAAUGAACAUUUUCCCCAAAUGUGUUGAACCUUCAGAUUUUCCAAAGUAUUUGACAAAAGGGUUUUUAUUAGUUAACCAUAAAUCAGACUGAGGCUUCUUUAAAACUUUUGUCAAAGUUGUACUUGUUUAUUUCACAUAAAACAAUAUUGUCAAAUAAAAGAGGGAAUCUAAAAGAUAUUAAAUUGAACUUAGGGCUGAAUAGAACAGUAACCACGGUAACCACGGAGCGACUUAUGACCUAAUGCACAAGAACUAUACUAUGGGAUCCUAUCAGACUGUCACUGUGUGGAUACUUGGAGGCUCCGGGACACGGAGCAGAAGACUCUGUUUGAUUGGAGUUUCAGAACAGGUGUGGCUGGCUGGGGAUUGGAUGGACGACCUGGUGACCUCAUCAGGUCAGGGAGUAGAGCCCCGGCCUGCCCCGCUGAUGAUUGGUUCAGUGCCUGCCAGCUGCACACUGCUCAGUAGCCCCGCCCCCUUUGGAACCCAUUGCCACCUGCUGAUUGGAGAACAUCAGCGGGGAGGGGCAGGACAGGGGGCGGGGUCACAACGUUCUUUUGACUUUUUUUAAUUGUAGUUGUUUUGUGGAUUGAUAGUCGGGAGGAAUCGUGCCCUUAGGUCGAAUACAAUGUGCCUUUGGUUAUUAAUGCCAUUCAUUUAGUAACCCAAGACCAGUAACAUAAUGACUUCAUUCCCCUACAUACACCUACCUACAGCACAUCUCCCCUGAACAUACAUCCAUUUCACAGAUGUGUGAAAUGUUUACAGUCAUUUUCAUGGAUGUUUUCUUCAAGCCCAAAGACAGUCUUCCUGGCUUAACCUCUGAUGUGGUAGCGAGGAGAAAGCCAAGCGGCCGCACAACGACAGGUAUUACAUGGGCCACAUCCACAAUGGCACCCUAUUUCCCUAUAUAGUGCACUACUUUUGAUAGGGCUCUGGUCAAAAGUAGCGCACUAUAUAGGGAAUAGGGUGCCAUUUCGGGAAACACCCUUUGCCAACAGGGAACGCUUAGUAAGAAGCAAUCACCUUAUGCUCUGAAAGGGUUGAGCAACUGACAGCCUCUGUCUUGUCUUAACAUCAAAACAAUUCAAGGGGUUACAGCUGUUAGCUUCAUUUUAUCACUCCCGGAGAGAAGGACAAAAAUACAUUUUAAUCUUUACCUCAGACUGUUGUGAUAGAUAUAUCUUCUUAUUGUGAUGUGAAUAACCCAGGGCAUUUGGUUACAUACCAAAGUGCAUUUCUUUCUACGUUUUGUGGCUAUGAGGAAAUGAAGCCAGUGGAUUUUGCCUCAUUUUUUUUUUACUCAGAAAAAUAAGAGGCACUCAAACCACUUUUGGUCAUUCAAGGGCCAUAGCUAUAUCUAUCUAUAUCUCUAUCUAUCUGUCUGGAGAAUGCUUGUCUUCAGCUGAGAAGGAAGUAGGGAGAUGGAGUACAGUGUUUAUUUUAUUACACCGCUGUCUGAACGGUGUAGCACAACUCCAAACCUCUGUGUGCUCCACACGGUUGGAUGUAGUAGCUUCUUUUCAGUGCAGUGUCAACUGUCCUAUCACAAUCUGCAGUCUAUAGUCGGUGUGUCAGUCAGCCCAAUGUGCUGCUCCACGGUAAGGUAACUUAGCUGUGGCAGAAUCAGGCAUUUGGCUAUAUUGUAAAUGUUUUGAAAAUGACAUUUUUUUAAAAAUAUUUUUUUUUUGCUACUUGUAAGAAUUUUAACUCUUGACUCUCUCGAGAGUUCUACUACACAACUUUUAGAAGACAGUCUCGAGAGCUCUACUACACAACUUUUAGAAGACAGUCUCUAGAGCUCUACUACACAACUUUUAGAAGACAGUCUCGAGAGCUCUACUACACAACUUUUAGAAGACAGUCUCGAGAGCUCUACUACACAACUUUUAGAAGACAGUCUCUAGAGCUCUACUACACAACUUUUAGAAGACAGUCUCUAGAGUUCUACUACACAACUUUUAGAAGACAGUCUCUAGAGUUCUACUACACAACUUUUAGAAGACAGUCUCUAGAGCUCUACUACACAACUUUUAGAAGACAGUCUCUAGAGUUCUACUACACAACUUUUAGAAGACUGUCUCGAGAGUUCUACUACACAACUUUUAGAAGACAGUCUCUAGAGUUCUACUACACAACUUUUAGAAGACAGUCUCGAGAGCUCUACUACACAACUUUUAGAAGACAGUCUCUAGAGUUCUACUACACAACUUUUAGAAGACUGUCUCGAGAGUUCUACUACACAACUUUUAGAAGACAGUCUCUAGAGCUCUACUACACAACUUUUAGAAGACAGUCUCGAGAGUUCUACUACACAACUUUUAGAAGACAGUCUCGAGAGCUCUACUACACAACUUUUAGAAGACAGUCUCUAGAGUUACUACUACACAACUUUUAGAAGACAGUCUCUAGAGUUACUACUACACAACUUUUAGAAGACAGUCUCUAGAGUUACUACUACACAACUUUUAGAAGAAGGAAGUUAAAAAAAAAACAGAAUCUUGAACCGAGCAACAACGUUGAUAGAUGUUAGUACUCUUUACCACAGCCACGUACGCUGUACAUAUGUGAAAUUUGCGAUGGGUUCAAUGUGGAUUUGUGUACAUAUGUAUAAUGUCUUUGCCUCUGGUGAAAUGCUGCUGGAAGCACUACAUGAAUGUUGUAGUGGGUUUUUAAGCUCGGUCAGUUUUACUAUAGUGUAUGUAAUGUACAGCUAAUGGAAGGUCACACUUUUUUUUGUGAUUAUUUGUUAAAUUUUAUUGUUGUGGCCGGGAAAAUGUUAUUAAAUAAAAACAAGUUUUAAUGUCCAUCUUUAUAAA